CCUGGUUCUCUCCGGGGGCCGGACCCACUCCCGAAGCCGCUCCUUGGCGCCCUAAAACGAGUAGCCCCAACGUGAGAGAAACAAAAGGCUCAGCCAGCUCCAAAGAAGAAAAACAAGGCGGAGGAAGGCAGGAAGCAGAGACUGAAGGGAGGAGCAGGGAUGGGAGUGGACCCUGCCAAGCCUGGCCCGCAGGCACCCAGCCUCUGGGACCAAGACCUGCUGCUGACAGCGCGCUCAGCUAUCAACUCCUGGACUGAUGGACCCGGAAAGAGGACGGUGACAGAGGAAUGCAGGGGACAGAGACAACGGGGAAACAAGCUUGGCGAUUCUCCUCUCUUCCUCCCACAGAGUUAGAUGCACAGUAGAACAACAAGAAGCCUCGAGUCGGACCUUGAUUCACUCAAAAGUAAGGAGCGGCCUGCGAAACCCUCAGAAACCAAGGGUAUCACACACUAAGAAGCUGUCGGUCUUUUCAGUCACACAACCUAGCCUCUGCCAUGUAGCCUAACAAAAAU